rnacentral:rRNA from 1 species
GACGAACGCUGGCGGCGUGCCUAAUACAUGCAAGUAGAACGCACAGUUUAUACCGUAGCUUGCUACACCAUAGACUGUGAGUUGCGAACGGGUGAGUAACGCGUAGGUAACCUGCCUGGUAGCGGGGGAUAACUAUUGGAAACGAUAGCUAAUACCGCAUAAUAUUAAUUAUUGCAUGAUAAUUAAUUGAAAGGUGCAAUUGCACCACUACCAGAUGGACCUGCGUUGUAUUAGCUAGUAGGUGAGGUAACGGCUCACCUAGGCGACGAUACAUAGCCGACCUGAGAGGGUGAUCGGCCACACUGGGACUGAGACACGGCCCAGGCUCCUACGGGAGGCAGCAGUAGGGAAUCUUCGGAAAUGGACGAAAGUCUGACCGAGCAACGCCGCGUGAGUGAAGAAGGUUUUCGGAUCGUAAAGCUCUGUUGUAAGAGAAGAACGGGUGUGAGAGUGGAAAGUUCACACUGUGACGGUAUCUUACCAGAAAGGGACGGCUAACUACGUG